UACAGAGGGUGCGAACGUUGCUCGGAAUUACUGGGCGUAAAGCGCGUGUAGGCGGCUCUGCAAGUCAGAUGUGAAAUCCCCGGGCUCAACCCGGGAACUGCAUCUGAAACUGCAGGGCUUGAGUCCUGGAGAGGGCGGCGGAAUUCCUGGUGUAGAGGUGAAAUUCGUAGAUAUCAGGAGGAACACCGGUGGCGAAGGCGGCCGCCUGGACAGUCACUGACGCUGAGAUGCGAAAGCGUGGGGAGCAAACAGG
rnacentral:rRNA from 1 species